rnacentral:rRNA from 1 species
AGUGAACGCUGGCGGCAGGCUUAACACAUGCAAGUCGAGCGCCCCGCAAGGGGAGCGGCAGACGGGUGAGUAACGCGUGGGAACGUACCCUUUGCUACGGAAUAGCUCCGGGAAACUGGAAUUAAUACCGUAUGUGCCCUACGGGGGAAAGAUUUAUCGGCAAAGGAUCGGCCCGCGUUGGAUUAGCUAGUUGGUGGGGUAAUGGCCUACCAAGGCGACGAUCCAUAGCUGGUCUGAGAGGAUGAUCAGCCACAUUGGGACUGAGACACGGCCCAAACUCCUACGGGAGGCAGCAGUGGGGAAUAUUGGACAAUGGGCGCAAGCCUGAUCCAGCCAUGCCGCGUGAGUGAUGAAGGCCUUAGGGUUGUAAAGCUCUUUCACCGGAGAAGAUAAUGACGGUAUCCGGAGAAGAAGCCCCGGCUAACUUCGUGCCAGCAGCCGCCGUAAAAC